UACGAAGGGGGCUAGCGUUGCUCGGAAUCACUGGGCGUAAAGCGCACGUAGGCGGAUUGCUAAGUCAGGGGUGAAAUCCCCGGGCUCAACCCGGGAACUGCGUCCGAUACUGGGAGGCUUGAAUCCGGGAGAGGGAUGUGGAAUUCCAGGUGUAGCGGUGAAAUGCGUAGAUAUCUGGAGGAACACCGGUGGCGAAGGCGGCGUUCUGGACUGUUUCUGACACUGAAAAACGAAAGCCAGGGGAGCAAACGGG
rnacentral:rRNA from 1 species